GCUGGUGUAGUAUAAUGGAUCAUUAUGUCAGACUUCCAAUCUGAAGAUCAGAGUUCGAUUCUCUGUACCAGCACCA
rnacentral:tRNA from 1 species